rnacentral:rRNA from 1 species
AUCCACAGCUAUGCCACCCUGAACACACCUGAUCUCCUGUGAUCUUGGAAGCUAAGCGGGUUGGGUCCAGUUAGCACUUGGAUGAGAGAGUACCUGGGAAUACCAGGUGCUGUAGGCU